ACUCAAAGGAAUUGACGGGGACCCGCACAAGCGGUGGAGCAUGUGGUUUAAUUCGAUGCAACGCGAAGAACCUUACCUGGUCUUGACAUCCUGCGAUCUUUCUAGAGAUAGAUUGGUGCCUUCGGGAACGCAGUGACAGGUGCUGCACGGCUGUCGUCAGCUCGUGUUGUGAAAUGUUGGGUUAAGUCCCGCAACGAGCGCAACCCCUAUUGAUAGUUACCAUCAUUAAGUUGGGUACUCUAUUGAGACUGCCGCUGACAAGGCGGAGGAAGGUGGGGACGACGUCAAGUCAUCAUGGCCUUUACGACCAGGGCUACACACGUGCUACAAUGGGUAUUACAGAGGGCUGCGAAGGAGCGAUCUGGAGCGAAACUCAAAAAGGUACUCUUAGUCCGGAUUGCAGUCUGCAACUCGACUGCAUGAAGUCGGAAUCGCUAGUAAUCGCAGGUCAGAAUACUGCGGUGAAUACGUUCUCGGGUCUUGUACACACCGCCCGUCACACCAUGGGAGUGGGUUGCUCCAGAAGUAGAUAGCUUAACGAAUGGGCGUUUACCACGGAGUGAUUCAUGACUGGGGUGAAGUCGUAACAAGGUAGCCGUA
rnacentral:rRNA from 1 species